rnacentral:rRNA from 1 species
AGUGAAUAGAUACCCCGGUAGUCCACACCGUAAAUGAUGCUCGCUAGGUGUAUUUGGCUUUUAGCCGAAAGUGUGCCGUAAAGCUAACGCGUUAAGCGAGUCGCCUGAGUAGUAUAGUCGCAAGGCUGAAACUCAAAGGGGAUAGGCGGGGGAACACACAAGCAGAGGAUUGUCUCGAUUAAUUGGAUAAUAAGCCAAGAAUCUUACCCCGGUUUGACAUCCUUCAAAUUUUGCCGAAAGGUGAAAGUGCUCGGUUCGCCGAGAAUGAAGUGACAGGUGCUGCAUGGUCGUCGUCAGCUCGUGCCGCAAGGUGUCUGGUUAAGUCCAGGAACGAGCGCAACCCUCAUCGUUAGUUAGAAUGUCUAACGAGACUGCCUCGGUAACGAGGAGGAAGGAGAGGAUGACGUCAGAUCAUUAUGGCCCUUAUGCCGGGGGCGUCAGAGACAAUACAAUGGGUGGUACAGCGGGUAGCAAUGCAGCGAUGCGGAGCCAAUCCUUAAAACCAUCCUCAGUUCGGAUUGUAGUCU